UUUUUUUUUUGUUUGAUAUUUUAAAUAUAGCUCUGAUAAAGAACAGAAAAGCUUUGUUUGUGUGCUUAGUAGUUAAACAAAUUAUAAGAAAAUAAAUAAUGAAGAUAAAAUUUGGUAAGAGUUGAGUGGCUCUAUGACCCAUUGUUUAGCCCACCUUGACCAUUUAUCAAUUCAACCAUUUUGACCUGCUCAUAUUCAACCCAAAUCGUCCAUUUGUCACCUAUAUAUGUGAGUUGGUUGCCACAUAUUUCCCUCGCUGUAUACAUUUUUCCUGUAGUAAGUUGUAAUACAUUCACAUUAAGUUUUAGUUCGUAAUAAUAUUUUCUGUUGUCCUGAAUUCUUUCUUAUGCAGGAAAACUAGCUGUAAAGAAUGCCGUAAUUUUUCAUGCAUUAAGUUAUCAAAAGUUAUUGGUUGGCUGAAGCUGGCUUUCAUUCUCAGUCGUGAGAUUCCCUUGCUUUCUCAAAAGGUUACUUUCUUUGGUUGAUCUGUACUAGAAAUUCCUCUCUUAGCUAAGUGUAUACUUCAACAAUCUUGUUUCUGUUAUCUACCUUUUGAGAGACUUGCAUUCUUACUUAUCAGUCUGCUUCCUUUUCACUCACUUGGAAUUAUCUCCUUUGGGUAUAUACAUUUACAAAAUGCUAUACAGAAAUUCCCCUAAGCGGCUUCAUAUUACGUGCUUGUAAACAAACCAUAAGGUGCAUGAACAAAUACAUGGUAAUUUUACCUGCUCUUCGCCUCUGAGAGAACAAAUUGCUAACUAGUAACAAAGGUUAAUGUCCUGAAGUCAAUAAUAAAAGGAUUGUUGCAAUACUGUAUUUUACAAAGUAAGGUUCUAAUAUCUUUCAUUUAGCUUUCUGUUCUUGCAUGUGUGGGUUGAUUUCCUUAGGUGGCAGCUGUAAAUGUAAAUCAUCUUUUGGUAUUCAUUUGUAGUGGAUUUGUACUGCAAUGAUCUCUGCAAAUGUGUAAAUAUUAAAUCAUUGUAUGCUUAUUCUUUGGGUGCAUGUUGAGAUGUUAAAUAAAAAUAUGACAAUUCAUCGUGUUUUUCUCCAAUUUGUAACCCUCUAAAACAGUUUGAUUCCCAGGAAAUUGACUUUUAUAUCAAUUCAAACAGAUUUCCAGGUUGCUUGCGGCAGUUUAUGUACUUUCUACUUCUGUUAAGUCUUUUAGUAUAGCACCUAGCAAAGCAAUCUCUGAGAGCCAAUGGGCAUCGUUCUUCCAUCAAGCUUCAAUUGGUACUCAUCUCAAUCAACACUUCUUUUCUUUCCCGUUGAAGAAGCAGAAAGCUGAACAUGAUGUGGAUUAUGAGGUAUGUGUUUUUUAGUUUAGUUUGCGUCAACAACUGAACUACAAGAAGUUUUUUCUUUGCCGUGCUUGGUCUGCAGUUUAAACCCCUAAUUGUUGCUGUGUGUUCUGCAUCAUGGUUGCAUGUAAUACUGGCAGCAUGAUCUCCUAGUGCCUUGCCAUUUUUUUUUUGUUCAAGGACUUUAGUAGUUGCUUAGAGUAAUGCAAGUGUUAGUAAAUGUAGGGGUUAGUUAUGAGUGAAUCUAUGUACUUAUUUAUGUAGGUAUUAUUUAUGCAAGGAUUAGUUAUUCCACCUUCUAUCCUUUAUAAAAUAAUGCAUAGAUUCCCUCAUAACUUAUACAUGUAUGAUGCAUUAGUUAUGUUGGUUUUUACAUUGUCAACCAAACGUCGUAUUAAUUUUAUACAUGAAUAACGUAUUUCCUAUCUACCUACCAAACGUCGUAUAAGUUGUACGAAAAUUAAUACAUGGAUAACAUGUUUCUUAUCCAGCUACAAACAACCCCUAAGUGGUAGGAAAGUGAGCUAAGCCUGAAUCUGAGUUAGGUUAACUUGAUAUAUUUUAAUGAAGUUGAAAUCUCUAGUCAGAAAUAAACAUACAACCUUUUUUUAUUGGAUUUUCCUCCGAAUCUAUCCACUUGUGUUUGUGACUAUGAGCGUCGACAACUAUCUUUUGCUGUGAUCAUUCUGCUAUAAUCAUGUUAUUGAUCAACAAUCACUAACCAAGCAUGUCAUCUUCUUUACCCUUCUCCCCUUGAAGCAAUAUUGUUUUAAGGAUUGGAUUCCUUGGGCAGAUCUUUUGGGAGUAUAAAAUCUUCUUUGAGGAUAGCAAACAGAGUAAUGAUAAAUCAGAUAGAAAAUGAGAUUAAUAACUGGGAAGAAAAGUCAGACCAAGGAAGCUCGCUUUUCUCCAAGGAAAAUGUUGAGCAGUACUCACAGAGUAAAUAAAAAAUUUAUGACUCUAAGGAGCAACCUUGGAUCCCUAAACAUAAACAUAGCAUUAUGUUCGUACCUCAAAAGACCGGAAAGGUAAAGUCUCAGCCAGCAAACAACAACAUAUACCCAGUGUAAUCCCUCAGUCAGAUCCAGCAAAGCUUCUACAAAAUCUCACUAAAGCCUAAAAGACAACCUACUAUUAAAUCUAAGUUUUUCUCUUACACAUAAGCUAAUAUUAUAGUUUUCCUUUGCACCGUGCUGGAUGCACUUAUAUCUAUGGAUUUGUCGUUUUCAGGGUUCAUGUUCUUCGAGCCAACCGUAUCUUAGUUCAGAAGAACUUAACAUGCUCAGGUAUUUCUUAGUCUUAGCUUGAAUUAAGCACCUUCACUAAGAAGAUGUGUUCAUUUCUGUUCUAUCUUCCUCCUCUUCUAAUGCAGGAUUGCACCUGAAUCAGUUGAAGAUCUUGAAGAUUUUGUUUCGAAAUUUUUUGAGAGCCUUCCUUCUUGUACAAUCGUCUGUCUUAGCUUGCUUGGACGCUCUGUUUCCAGUUUGUUGACUGAAUUGUUGCAUUCUCCAUACCCCAUUCAAUCAUGGGUUUUAUUAUCUCGCAUGAGCUCGAUUAGUCAGCCCAUCACUGUAAUUUUGCCGGUGCAUUCAAUCUUAAAUGGUAAUACAGUCUUACACUCUAAAUUGAACAGUAAAUUCAUGAAAGGUAUACAUAAAUUGUUCGUCUUUCAUGCCAUCAGAAGCUGCAGAUGAUGUUGCUGAAUUCACUUCCAGUUUUUCAUUUGAAGUCAAAGAUAAGCACUGGCAUUGCCCUUGGGUGUCCAGCAUGAUAGAUGAUGUGGCUCCAGUCUUUAGAGAUAUAUUAGAGAAUAAUUACUUAUCCUCUUCUGUACACCUAUUAGAAGAUACAACAGAGAGCAGAUCAUCAUGGUGGAAGUGGAGGAAACACCUUGAUAAGCGCCUUGCUAACUUUUUACGGUUAGUCUUAUUUAAAUAAUUCUUCAUCUACUUUUGUGUUCCAUGCAAAAGAUCAUUUCCCUCAAUGUGGAUGAUCUUCAAUACUGAAUUCUUGGAAUUUUGACUGUUUGAAAAGUUCAGUUGCAAGAUUGGUGUCGUGAUGAUGAUUUUGUAUAAUUGUUGAUGUCUUCACCUUUCCAUCUGGUAGUUAAGAGUGAAGUCACUGGAUGUGAUGCUUAUCAUUGCUAUCAUGAUGCCAAUUCACUUUCAAAUAACGUAUAUCAAAGUAUUAUAUAUUUUUAAUUUAUAUGCCUCAGGAAUCUAGAGGAUUCAUGGUUAGGUCCUUGGAGAUGCUUGCUUUUGGGGGAAUUGUCAGAAUGCGAGCUCCUGGAUUCACUAGUAAAGAAACUCUAUGAUCAUUUUAGACGUAAAGCUGGAGCAGAUGUUCAUGAAAGUCUUCUUAAAGUAAUUCUUGGAGGUGCGAAGUACGCUUGUGAGAAAGAAAAUUGCAUUUCUCAGAUGGUUAUAAAUAAAGGGUGUCACCUACAUGGAGGGUGUCAUGGAAACUCCAAAGUGUUAUUUAAGACAUCUACAGAAGUUGAAAGUCUCUGUGAUUCAGUAUACAAGUCUAUAAUUGAUGAAGCCCAAGAGAUAGAAGAGAUUGAAUCCAUGAGUAGAAGACCAGUUAUUCUUGUUUUGGAUCUUGAGGUGCAGGUGUGUUUACUUUUAUCUUUGCUUCCUGGUUAUUCUUUUAGUAUUUGUUGCUUGAAGAGUCUUGAUUCAACUUUGUGCUUCAUUAUGCCUGAAGUUCCUUAUAUAAAGUCCUCCCAUGCUUCAAGAAGUUGCAAUUUGGGAAAUGAUAGAUUUGUUAAAUAUUGCAAUUUGUUGUAUCGUGUAAGCCUAUACAUUGUGCAUAGUUACGCAGUUGUGCUGCAACUGUUUGAACUUCUCCAAGUUGGAAAAGUUUCUCUGCUAAUUGGCAAGAUUCUUUUUAAUUGUUCCCUAAUUGGCAAAAUUCUAGUAAACCUUUUUAAACAGAAGGUUUUGGUAAGAAAAAUAAUGACAACUUCUGCAGAUGCUUCCUUGGGAGAACCUACCGGUAUUAAGAAACCAGCAGGUUUAUCGCAUGCCUUCAGUUAGCAGCAUCAGAGCAACGCUGAUCAAGUGUUGCCAAGAUCAACAGCAAGUUAAUAAGGGGGGAUCUCCUAUGAAACAAGGGGUUCCAUCAUCACCUUCCAUUCCACUGAUUGAUCCACUGGAUUCCUAUUAUCUUUUGAAUCCAAGUGGAGAUCUCAGCAGUACACAGAGUGAAUUUGAAAACUGGUUCAGAGAUCAGGAUUUUGAGGUACUUCUCUACUUCACUCCUGGAAUUAGAACAGUAAAAGGAAGAAAACCCUUCGACUAAGUAUCACAUUUUACCUUUUCUGAACGUGCAUGUAUGUGAAAGGUUCAUCUAUAUAUAUACUCUACAAAAAUUAUGCUUUUUAUGUUUCUUCCCUUUUUUGUGAUUGCUAAAAGGGCCCUAUUAUCUUUUAUGAAUUUCAACUGAAAAUUGAGAUAUAUGUUUUCUUUAAAUGGGAGGAAUAACUAGCAAAAAGUAGUUUAUUUUAGUGGAAACUGCAGUGGUUCUAUUAUUUUAGUUUGUUUCCACUGAUAUAUACUAUCUUAUAACUAUGAAUAAUUAGGACAAAUAAUCUUAUUAGUCAAUCAGCCAACUAAUUUCACUGGGUAUGUUGUUGUUGCUCCCUUAAAAAACAAUAUAUAUACAUAUACGCAUAUAAUAUCAUGAACUAAGAAACAAUUCUGAAUUCAUAGUUGUUAACCAUGUCUUUCCCUUUAUUAAAAACUAGUAAAUGGGCCCACGCUUCGCGCGGUUAGAACAUUCUUGUUUUAAAUUUAUUAGAAUAGAAUUUUUCUUGUAUUUUGAUGUUAUAGUAUUUUUUAUAUAAAUCUAUUUUUAAGAGUAUAGAGGUUAUUCAAUUGUAGUUUAUCAUUUGUUUUAUUAAAAGAAAAUGCAAAAAUACAAAUCAUAACACUAUUUUCUCCUAGUUUAUAUAAUUUCAUUUUACAGAUUCAUUAAUUUGCUCUGGAAAUUUUACAAUGGUUAGUUUAUUUUUUUCAUCUAUAUGCAUGGUUACAUAGUGUCUUUAAUUAGAGAGUCAAGAAAAUAUUUUUCUCAAUUUUCUUCUUUGCAAAUUUUGUUAGUAUAACACUAUCUAAUUACUUUCAAAAUAUUAAAUAUUUUUUAAAAUAUAUAUAAAUAUAUAUAUAUAACUAAUGUGUUUAUCAAGAGCAAAGGUUUCAUAAUCAUAUGAUAUACCAAUAAGUAAUAUGUAGUUAUUAUGUGUUUUAAAAUUAAAAUGCUACCCUUCGGGGUGGCCCAGUGGUUUGGGCUUGGGACUUCCAUGUUGGAGGUCUCAAGUUCGAAACCCCUUGCCAGCGAAAGCAAGGCGUUUUGCCUUUUGGGGUCCGAGCUCGUCGCACCAGGCUUGCCUGGUGCGGGUUACUUUUCCUAUGUGGUUUGCGAGCUAUUGCAUAGGAGCGGGGGGUUUUUACCCCUGUGCGCACCCAAAGGGUAGCGGCUGCGGGUUUCCCUUGUCAUCAAAAAAAAUAAUUAAAAUGCUAUCUUCCAAAUUAAAAUUUCAUAUGUAAUAUAGUUAUGAUAGUAUUUUGGAAUUGAAGUUGUGCACAAACAAAACAUUAAGGAUCCUUUAAAAGGGUGAAAGAGAAGUAAGGCAUAAUGGAAAAAUAAGUUCAAAAAAAUACUUUGGUGCGAGAGAAUAGUCAUCAUUGUGUAUCAUACAAUUGUAAUCAAUUGCUAGUUUUAAUUCUAUCAUUUGACUUUCUAUAUUUUUUUUACUCCUGUUAAUAUUAACAUUAUUAUGACAACAAACAAAAAUCAUAUAAUUUUUUAGGCUUGAUCUCUUGGAGAAGAAAAGUUUUCUUUGGAAAAUGUUGUACAGAAAUGUAUUAUGUAAAAAGUUAUUUGUGAAUCUGCUGUAGUUGGAUUUACAUAGAGUCUAUACUAACAAAUACUUAUAACAAUAAUUUUACAGAAACAUAAACAACAAAGUUCAAAACAUGUACUCAAAAACAAAAAUUAAUAUCACAAGCAUAAAUUAAUGACUGUAAAAAAAUAUACCAGGAUCUGUAAUAAUAUAAUGAAACAGAAAGGAAAAAUCGAGCCCACUGAAUGCACAAUGUCUCCUUAAGGAAAUCAUUUCCUCUAGUACCCGUGGUUUAAAAAAAUAGAUCCUCUCAGGAUGAAACAAUUUUAUUCAUCAGUGUAAUGAUACAAAAACAAUAGUGUCAGUGAUCCACUCAAGAAGAGCAAAGUACACAAUUAUUUAAUUGUGCAAAAGAAGAAGAAGAAGUUCAUAAUCAAAUAUUUAAUUGUGCAGAAGAAGAAGAAGUAGUAGUUAAGAAUUUUCGUUGUUUUAAAAUGAGAGGAAACCCCUCUAUUUAUAGACAAUAAAGGUUAGUGUGAAACAUUAAUAAUGUAAAGGAAAAUGAAAAUUAUUACAUCUUAUCAUUUAUCUUUAAUAACAUAAGCAUAAAUAAAUGAUUAUAAAAAUACAUACCAGGAUCUGUAACAUAAACAAUGGUGUUAGUGAGCCACUCAACAGGAGCAAGUACACAAAUAUUUAAUUGUGAAGAAGAAGAAGAAGAGGUUCAGAAUUUUUGUAUAUAUAUAUAUGAUAUAUGAUAUGAUGAGCAUUAUUAUCUCAUCUGCAAAAUCCCAAGUGGCUCUAGUAAUAUUUGGAGUGUAUAACCAUAAUGUGAUUUGUCACAUGCCCCUUCCUAGGAUAUGUUAAACAAAAGCAUUUAACUUCGUUGUGCAGGGGAAGUGUGGAACUGCACCAGCUGUAGAAGAAUUAGCCGAGGCAUUGAGGAGUCAUGAUCUUUUUAUUUACUUCGGCCACGGAAGCGGUACACUCAAAUUUAAACUGAUUGACGAUAUUAUCAUGGUUCAUUAGUUUUUACUAAAUAUUGCCUACACGCUCCUUUAGGAAUAACAUAUGUUGCUAUGCUGGUAUUUCAGGAGCACAAUAUAUCCCCGAGCAUGAGGUGAAAAAACUAGAGAGUUGUGCUGCUACUCUGCUUAUGGGGUGCAGCAGCGGAUCACUGUAUCUGCAUGGAUGUUAUGCUCCUCGAGGUGCUCCCCUGUGCUAUCUAUUCGCAGGUUCACCAGUUAUAGUAGCUAAUUUAUGGGAAGUGACAGACAAGGAUAUUGACAGAUUUGGGAAGAGCAUGCUUGAUGCUAUUUUGAGAGAGAGAUCAAAUGUUUCAUUUAGGUGUGAUCAAUGUGAUACACUUUCAGAUAAACUUGAGUCCUUAAAAAUUAGUAAUAGAAAAAGAAGUGAAAGGGUAAAGACAAAGAAAGAUACAACAGCUGAUAUGUAUAAUAACAAUAUAUCUACUAACCACUGUAACCAUAGACCAAAGAUUGGAUCAUUCAUGGGGCAAGCUCGAGAGGCAUGCACUCUCCCUUUUUUGAUUGGAGCAGCCCCAGUUUGUUAUGGUGUCCCCACAGGAAUAAUAAGCAAAAAAGAUUUGUAGUAUUAUUAUGGCAUUGUUAUGUAUAUGAUAAUGUUCACACUUAUUCUUUAUUGCUUGUACAAUCUCUUAUCAUUUUAAAUAUUCACAUUACCAUUGUAAAUGUAAUCAGUGUCAAUUACACUGGGAAAACGUUCAAAUAUUUGAUUGACUAGAUAAAUAGCAAUCACCUAGUUAUUAUGAUAGGAUAUUAUACAUGCUUAGAAAUUUAUUUUGCGGUUACCUGUUGAACCAACACAAUGCUGGAACUAGUCAAAUCAGUUUGGAACGCGAAUUUGAUUCAGAUUUUAAUGUCAUUAAUAUCCAACUUUCUGCUAAAAUAGCAUUUUCCCCAAAUGGCCCUAAGCAAACACCAAUCCAGAUCAAUCCUCCAGUGCAGGUACUGGAUGGUGAACCAAAAUCAGUUGUUAUGUGGGUCUUAAAUGGUGUAAAUAUGGAUUAUGUGGCACAAAACAGUUCACUAUUCUAAUUAUGUGAACAGGGAAAACUGUCUUUUGCUUUUGCUGUUUUGAACCAUCCAAGCAGACGACGAUAUUAGCAGCUUAAGGCCCAAUCUCCUCUGGGAGCAAGGAAAAGCAACUCCGCAUGGAAUUGGUAAUUAAAAUAUAUAUACAUUUAUUUGAGAGAGAGGUUAUCCUUAAAAGAACAAAGAGUGGCCGAGCUAAAAAAGCAAGGGAAGGGAUAAAAAAGUACCCAGUCUACCAGAAAAUUAUUCUCUUCACAUGUCCACAAUUCAACUUCAUAUAACCGUUUCAACUACUGGGGCUAGAGACAUGCUCUUGCCUAGUCUGGUUUAUAGAAGAGAAACAACUCCAGAUCUAAAUAACAUUCAUACAAGUUGAAAUGGUGAAAAGGUGAACAAGAUAUGAAAAAUGUACAUCAGAAAUUGCAUUAAUACAAGAAUUGACAGAUAAAUGUUCAAAAGACAGAAUAAGGAAAUUACAAACUACAAAUCACAGUGAAACUGAGCUUUCUUCAAGUGCCCGCCAAUAUUUCUGAGCCAUCCUACAAUCUACCAUGUAUCAAACAUCAAUCUGAGGCAGAUGUGCAUGAGAAUGUUAGAGCACAGUUAAAUCCUAGACUAAGACCUAUAAUUAUUUCUUUUUUCACAAUUUCAAACAUACACAAAUUACAUCUAUCUCCGACCUGCGUUGGCCUCUCUACGUCUUCGUCUCCUCCCAGAGCGACCCAAGAGGACUCUACCUUCACGACGAAGACGCCCAACUAGUGACAUACCACUAUCAUCAUUAUCGUCCCCACUAUUGUCACUGUCAUCAUCAGAGUACUCGAAACCACCAAUUGGGAGGUUUCGGUCAACUCCACCAGCACCUCUAUCCAAAGUAUCACUUAUGUCUCUCUCGUGCCGCCUCAUAACCCGAUUUGACCCAAUAUUCCCUGCUGAACCAAAAGCCUGCAAAAACAGAAACACAUUCAUCAAGUUGCGAUCGAUGCCCAUUCCAAAACCUUCAUUCCCAUUCAUCAUCUCAUUCGCAUCAAAACCCUCUUCAUCAUCUGAAUCAAAACCAUAAUGACUUCCUUCUAUCACAUAAUCACCAAAAACCACAGCCCCUGGCAUAGAAGAAGUUAUAGUGCUGAUAACAUCAUCCCUCUCUCGUUCCCUCUCAAGCCUUGUCCAUUUUUGUUCAAGAAGAGGAUCUACCUCACGUGGUCUAGCACAGGGGUGCUCUGCCUUAACAUGUUUUCGUAUCUCCUUGUAGCUUCCAACAAACGAGCAAUCAUCCUGCAUGCAGCUACGCUUCUUUGAAUUUAGAUAUUCUCUAGCAGGUUCAACCACAGUCCAUCCCUUCACCUGGCCUCUACAUAGUGGGCAAGCAACUUCUGAGACCUCGCUUUUCUCAGAAGGCCAAGUAGAAAAUGGUUCAGCAGUUGGAGUAUCAUUAUCACCCUGCACAGGUUGAUUAUUAUCUGGCAGUAUUGCUUUAGUGUAGGCUUUCUUGUACUGAUCGAGGCAGUUAGAAUAGCGCAAGCUAGUUCCACACAUGUAGGGGCGGCAACCUUUGUCAUGAGAGGAACACAGGAGAAGCACAGCGUUAUGGGGAUAUUCCAUGCAUACAGAACAUGUUGCAUCUUCCCAGUCUUUCUUCUCAAAGAUUUUAGAGCAUUUCUUUUGGUGAACAAGUUCAGAAUGGUUAGCAGAUGGCAAAGGGUAUGGGGUGGCCCUGCAUCGUCGAGAACCAUUCCUACGUCGUCCUGUGGUCCCUUUCGCCAUUUCCUAAACAGAUCUGCAUGAAUAGAACAUCAAUAAUUUAGCAUGAUUGCAUUAAAUUAGAAAGAGAGAGCAGUCACAUCCGUUAUCUGAGGAUCAAGAAGGAAAGAAGAGUAGGAUAGACCUUUCGCGAGAGAGUAAAAGAGGAAAUAAUAAGGGGUGUUAGAUCCAUCACUAAACUGCAGGAUAAAGAGCCCUAUGCUAAUAAAGAGAUCAUGCAGCCUGGUAAUUCAAUACUACAUCAUACCAGUCCACUAUGACCUCAAUCCCAAAGUAUUUGGGCUUAGCUAUAUGAUUACUUUGUAUCAAUUAAGCUCUAUCUGAAGCUAAUAUUCAGAGCAUAGUCAAAUUUCACAAUGACUUGAUUACAAAAAUAAAGUUUUAUAAAUUAAAUCUAGUCAAAAAGCAACUUAGACCUAUCUUUUAGAAUUAUGAGUCGGCAUACCUGGGUAAUUGCCCAUAAUAUGUUGGUAAGUAAAAAUACUUGACAUGCAUUCAGACCAACUAUAUGAGAAUGAUUAGAGGCAUCAGGAGAGUAACCCCCUGGGCCUAUUCUCCCUGAUGAAAAAAACUAGGAAUGGCAAAUACAUUUAAUUGAAUUUGAUCACAGAAGAGUGAAGAUAAGGAAAAAACUUAGGAAAUGAAAUAAAGCAACCCAGCUGUUACUAUCCUUCAUUCCCUGUCAUCCUAUCUGUUUCUUUUUACUUUAUGCUCAGGAGUCAUCAACUUAAAAUUCUCGAAUUCCACCCUAAAAUAAAAGUGUAGUGAAGGAUUCAAAACCAAGUCAAGACCAAGGAAAAAAAACAGCUCCAUGCCAAAAAGACAAAACAGCGGCAGACAGAGCGGAGAACUUCCAUUCGCAUCAGGACAAAUAUAGACUUCCUCAACAUGCACAGAAAGUCAAUCCAACUCAAAGAGGAAUUGUCUCUGAUGGUAUAUUAUCCCACACACACACCACCACCACCACCACCACCACAUGAAUUAUGGGAGGACCUCACUAGUCAAUUCCCUGUACUUCCAAUUAUAUGUGAAGCUAGCACAUACUUUAAGAAAGAAAUAAAACCUUUGAACUUGUGACCUUAAACAUGCCCUAACAUUUGUGUGGCUAUACGACUUUACCAACUUGUGGUCUUAAACAUGUCAUAACAUUUGUUUGGCUAUAAAAACUUCUCAUUAAGGGUAACACGGAAAUUUAAAUCAAAGUGUUUCCAAAUUUAGGGAGGGGACAUUCUUUUUUAAGCGGACUAAAGAGGAAAUAUGUUCACUGUUCACAUAAAUUAAAAAAGAGGGAGUAGCUAAUAUGUAAAAAUAUACAUAUGCCUGUGUGUAAAAAUAAGACCCUGAUCAGCAAUUAUUGAAAAGCUAACAUGCGACGCCUAAAUGUUCAACCCAUUUGCUGCAACUCAAUAAAUCUUCAUCUUUCAGAAAGGAAAAAAAGAAAUAUUUCUACACCUCUCAAGCAAAUGUCAGCUCCUAGCAUAAAAUUGGAACUCUUAAAGCUACAGAUCUGAUCAUAAGAGAACUGCCCCCCUGAUUCUAGCUCAAACGCCAACAAAUCACACACUCAUUAAAUAGUCUGAUCAAUUGAAUUAUAACAAUGAUAAUCAGACUAACAUAAAAAGUAAGACCAGAUGAGGAGGGAAAAAUGAAGAAUUUAGAAUUGGGGAAUCCAGGCACUGUUAAGAGCCAUAGGAACACCUCUUAUCAAAAUCAAAAAGAUGAUCAGACCACCCAAUCACAUUGAAAUAUACCAAAGACAAGACGUUACCCGUACACAUAAAGAUCAAAUUUUGCAUUAGCUUAGACAGAAUCCUCUUAGAAAAUUGUAAUUCAGAUGAACAACCAGCCCAUUUGACCUCCAUCCAUCGUUUCCCCAGAAAAAUCAAUCAACAACCCAGUUGGGAAAAACACCUCACAACAACAGAUAUCCAAACACCAAGAAUGAAGACAUAUUCACAUUAUACAGACCAUCAAGCUAAAUUGAUCAAAAAAGAAAAGGUAAAGACUCAUACCCACCUUGAGUUUAGAGCGAAUCUGGAUCCAAAAAAUGAUAAUUGUGAGCAGCAAAAAAGUACACGCUAUCUAUCUAUAUAUAUACACCCCGAUAGAAUUCAACUCCCACCUAUCUACCUACUACUUAAGCAAAGACAGGUUCAGAAAAUGCAUCUAAUACACGAAACAACGUGCCCCAGCAGAACAAAAUCACGCGAGAAUACAGAUAACAAAAUGAAUAAAUUAAUAGCAAUAAUUCAAAAGCUCAGUACAGCAAACAAUUAUUUAAAUAACAUAAAAACAAAGCCAAGCACAUGACUCUCCUUGACCUUUUCUAAUCACCCCCAUCAAUCUCAGAUUCACCAUUAAUUUUAUCCAAUUAUCAAAUCCAUCAAUUGUCCCAUUAUCCCCAUAUAUCCCACAAUCACCAAACCUCAGAAAAUCAUAAAAAUAAACAAAAAAAAUACAUCAUUCUUACCGGGAAAAAAACCGAAUUGAUUAAAACUGGAGUAUGAAUGAAUAGGCAACAAAAAGGAAGGACGCUUAAAGGUGAAAGAAAGAGAUAGAAAGCUAGGGUUUUCUCGUAAAAAGGAGAGAGAUCUGUGAGGGAAUUCACUUUAGAGCGCAGGCAUUGAAAAAUGAAAUAGAAAAAAUUUGGGGAUUUUGGAUUUGGAGGAGAGAGAAAGUAAAAAAGCGAAAAAGAAGGGGAAAUGGUAGAGAGAGAAAAUUCAUGGGAUUCGUGGAGUCAUUUCUACGCUACUCUUUUUCUCCUCUCGACGGCAGUUAGGUGGCGGUUUCACUCGCGCCUCGGAAACUGAUAUUCACGCGACCAUUAUUUUCUAUAUGUGAUUUACAUCUUUUUAUGAUAGCUUCCUAAUUUUUUUUAUUUUCUUGUAAAAUAUUGAAAUGAUUCUUUUAAAAUAAAUAAAUUGAUGAGGUCAAAAUUAAAAUAAAAAUAUUGAAAAAGAAUACGAAUAAUCACGAUUUCAAGACCUUAAAUGUGAAAUUGUGAAAGAUGAUAAUAAUGGUCAGGAUCAUGAUAAGCAUUAAUAACGAUGGUAAUUUUAUCACCCAUAACCAUUAAUAAUGAUAAUGAUAAACGAAAUAGUUUGACUUUGUUGGGAAAAUAGCACAAAAUAAAGAGAGAUCAAAUAAUUAUUAAGUUGUUAGUUUGUCUUUCUUUAUCUGAUUUUUCACUUUAAUGGUUUUGAAUAUGUCUAUCAAAUUACAUAAAAAAAAUUAAAAUUUGUGAUCUAAAAUAAAUAAAAUAUAUUAAUAUUUUUUUUAUACUAACUAAAUAAAUCAUAUAAAUUGAAACGAAAGGAGUACGUGAUUAAUAGUAAAUCACCAAAAGUUUGCAUUUAGUUUAUUAGUGGAGAGUGAAGGCCACACGUGAUGAGUGGUUAGAUUAUUGGUGUUGCCAUUUGUUUGAGACGUGAGGUGUUUCAUCAAACAUUGGGAAUCGUGACUACUAGGCUAAAUGACACGUCAGCUUUAAUUUUCCGGAGGUACUAAAGCAUAUUCUUAUUUUAAUAUUUUCUCACAUUUUUCGAGAAAAAAAUCAGAUGAAAUUAACAAUUUUAAAUAGCACAACUAAGUGCUCCUUUCCUUACGUUGGUCUAAUUUGAUUUGACACAAAGUUUAAGAAAAUAAAAAAAACUUUUAAAUUUUAUGGUCCUAAAUUAAAGUUAUGUCAAAUAUACAAAAUUGUACUUUAAUCUUGUGGUCUUAAACAUACCACGUGAAAAGUUGAAAUUAAAAUGUUACCAAAAAAGAAAAAGGUCAUUUUUUUUUAAACAGACUAAAAAAGAAAUAAGAUCAUUCUUUUUUAAACGAAGGGAGUAAUAAUUUUUGUGUAACUUUUGUACCAAGACAAAUAAAAAACAUCAAAAACUGUAUGUUCUUUAAACUUGUACGAGAAAAUCAAUUCUUUAUUAUACAUUAUUCAUUUUACAAAAUUAUAAAAUAAUUUAGCUUUGUUGUAUGGCUAUAAAAAAAUCUUCAAAUGAUAAUGCAAGAUGUUGUGGUGUAAUAGUGGAAGAUGAUAUAUUUCUGCAACAAACAAAUUCAUAAUAGAAAAAUAAAAUCUAAAACCUCCAUUUUUCAAAAAAAAAAUUCCAAAGACUGAUGGAAAUGUAUUUGAAACCAAAAGGCUCAUUCCAUUUUUAUAUAUUUGGGGUAAUUUCAAAAACAUCGAUUUAAAGUGUUGAUUAAUUAUUCACUUUUUUUGUGGUUUAUAAUAUUACGUCUUACUUAUGUAUUGGGCGAUUAUUUCAUUAUCAAAUAGAAAGCCAGUCUAUUUUGUUCACUUCCUCUCUUUUUUUCCAACUUAGGCACAAUAUGUCAAAACAUAAACAUCAAAAACUAGGUUAGUCAUAUAAUAUACUUCCUUAAUUCAACAAAAUUUUGGUUUAAUCAAUCGGCAUUCAAGACCUAUUUAUCUAAUCAAUUUAUAUAUGUAUUGUGUAAAGUUCACUUAGAAUAAGUGUUUCUCAUCAAAAUUUUAAUCAAAAAAAUCAUUUAUCAGAUCUGAUUUCUCAUUUUAUUUUGUUUUAUUUGUCUCUUAUCAACUAGGCCAUUCUAGUCCCAAGUUCCAUCUAAUAUGGAAAAACUUGUUUCAAUUAAAAUUUAGUUGGAAAUGUAGAUUGAUCUAAAACAUUAUGGAAGAGUAAAGAGAUAAAGGAAGAAUAGAGUCUAGAAUUCUAGAGGUUUCCUACUUGAGUAGGGUUAUUUAUUACUAUCUCAUGGGCAAGAGGUAGCAAUACUAUUUGCUAAACAAACAUUUGUUCAUAAAUUUUGGAUUAAAUUUUAAAAAAUUAUCUUUCAAUAUUUGUUGGAUUAUGAAAUUUGAUCAAUUUUUUGAAAACUUGAUCUUCAAAUAUUAUUAGUCAGAUUUUACUCACAGAACUUAAGAUUUUAUUCAAGUAAAAUGCAUGCCUAAAAACAACUUCAAAUUUCAAAAAUUACAACUCCAAUAACUCAAUUUUUACGAGAAUUAAAAGGUGAAUAUUGUCGAAUUUAGAAGAUAAUUUUACCUAAUAUCUGAUACACAUCCACAAUGACGACAUACUUACACACGUAUAAUUUAGUUUAAUUCAACUAUAUAGAUUAUUAAUUUACAAGUAAUACUUAAUGAGGUGGAUCACGUACGCUUUACAUUGCGUAAUUAAAAAGAAUUAUACUUUAUUAGCUUGGGAGAUUUAUUUAUUUUUCAGUAAUUAUCUUACGAGAUCGUGCAUGUAAAUAUAUCUCAAUUCGAGAAUAGUAAUGAUCAAGAAAAAAAAUCAAAGAUUUAAUUGACUUUAUAUGCCAAGGCGUAAAGAAAUAUCACGAAAUAUACAAGUUUUAAAAUCAACUAAUUAAUGAAUUGUUGUAUUCCGGUUGAUCCAUAACAGUAUAUGUAUUUUAAAAUCUUUUACACCUCCUCCAAAAAAGAUAUUUAAUAGUACAAUAGCAUUUACUACAAGAUUAUUAUCUAUUAUCUUUAAUUCAUCCUUAAUUUAAUAUCUCACUAAAUUAUUACUCUAUUAAUUAGAGCAGUAAUGGUAGAUAUGAAUAAUAAAUAAUUUCUUAUUCAACUUUAAAAAUUGUUAAACAAAUUCGAUUUAUCAAAACGACUAUUAUUAUCUAAAGAAAAGCUUCCUUUUUUCUUGCAAAGAAAACAAUAGGACAGAACUUGAAACCCAGAGGUUUUCAGCUCCUUAUUCUUAUGGGUUUGUUUUAUUAAAUUAUCUUGAUUAGUUAUAUUUUAAAUAAUCAAUGGAAAGGAUAAAAAAUCUCUUUUAAUUUGUUAAAAUAGACAAGUUAACAAAAGAAGGAAGAAGUAUUUUGCAAGACUAAAUAAAAAAAGGUACACUUGAUAUUCCAAUAGACAAAGUUAUCUACAAAACCAACUAAUAUCUCUAACCAAUUAUGGAAUAAAACAAUCCUACAUUUUAUUUCGAUAUUAUUGUUCCUUGUCCCAAUACCAAACGAAAGAUCAUUUUUUGGCUAAACAGAUAGGGUUGGCUUUGUUCCAUCUUUUGUGGGUUAAUUAAUCUGUUAACUGUCAAACUAUGCAGGUUUACAGAUGAGGGACUGGAAUGGAUCACCACCCCCUAUAUUAAAGCAUAUAAUUUAGGUCACAUGCCCAUGUUAGUAGCCUAGCCUGUCACAAUCCUAUUCUUUAUAGGAAUAAAAUUACAUCAUCAACUCACAUGAACUUUGCUUUCAUCUUUAAGCAAUCACAGCUAACUAUGGAGGAAAAAAGAAAUAGAAUCUACAAAAGUAUGAAGCUGGCCAAAUCAUUUGCCAAUACAAAAAAAAAGAGAAAGGAGCGAGCUCAAUAUUUUUUCACCUAAAUACAUAAAUGAAAUGUUAAAAGAGAAAAACAAGUUGUUAAAGUAACAGGCUAACAGCCAUAGAUAUCACAGCAGUAGAGAGAAGCUCAGUUCAAAAGGAAAAUUGAGAAGAAAAAAUAAAGAGACAAUGUGGGGGAGUAGAGGGGCAAAUGGAACAACCGAACAAGCAUAUAUUUUUUAGGCUCUCCUAAUUGAUGUUACAAUACCCUCCUAAGGGAUAUAUUAGUAAUCCUAGGGACCUUUGGGGGGGUCAUCUCCAGGCAGGUCAUCUUCAUCAUGGUAGAUGUUUUCAGCCAUCUGCCAAAUUUGUAGUAUAUUAUCCUCAGCAACACUAGCAACGACCCAAUCUUCACAUGGGUUCCAUGAGAAGUCUGAAAUUUUACUUGUAUGGCCACCAUGAAUAAAGAGCAACUCUGGUGGUCCAUCUUCUGCAUCUUCUGGAGUUUGUUCCUCAUCGAUCCUACACCAAAUUUAAAAAAAAAGUGAAAUUUCAGGUUUACUGCAGCCUGCAGAUCUUAAAGGGAACAUUAUAUAUAAAACCUCUAGUGAUUCAUGUGAAUCAUCUAAAAAAAAUCCCAUGUAACGCCAUACAAAGGCAUUCAAGCCUAGACGUUAAAUGUAUCACUGAGCAGAAAUGGCUUUUUUUUACACAAGAAAAUAUCAUGGUUAAACUAGUUUUUCUAAAGUUCCGUUUAAAGUACAUGGUUUCAAAUCCUCAACGCAAUGAUAUCUAUAAUGUCAAAGUCCAACUUCUAUACGACAAGUUGUCACAAAGCAAAAACAAUGGAUUGGAUACCACCCAACAAUUCAGUGAAUAAGUGCAAUCCCAGAUACUGAGACUUGGAUCAGAAACUCAGAUUCAGACCACAUGAUAAUACAAUUGUACAUCUGGAUUAUCAUGUGUACAAAUCAACAUGGAACUUCAAUUCUACACUUGCCAGUACUCAGUAGAGCAUAUGAUGUAGUCAUUUUCACAUGCUAGGACAAUUCAGUACAAUAUAGACUCAAACACACAACAGAAUGAGCCUAUUUCAGAGUUCCAAAUCCACAUGUUGAGUCAGGUGACAAAGUUGCAACCUAUAAAGGAAGUGACAAAAUACUAAUUUAGGACUAAAAGGUGUUUUUCCAAAUAAAUGAGCAGAAGCAGACAAUGAAAUGGCAUAGCUUUUUUCCCACUUUUGUAUGAGGUGGUUUUCUAAGGAGUACAGGGGCUUGACGCCCUGUGGGAGAAGAGGGAAGGAAUAGAGAUGAUAAAUCCCAACUAUAGGUGAACUAUAGCUGGCAAGAUAAGGCAGGUGUUAACGUAUAGAUAGAAUAACUAAAAUUCAAAACAUCAAAGAGCAAGACAGAAUAAAAGCACCCACUGGACCGACAGAACAUUCACUCUGAUAUCAUGAAAAUACUAGUAAGGAUAGCUGGAAGAGUAACCUGCUGAGAUCCCAAACCAUGAGUCUCCUACCAAGGCAACAAGAAGCUAAAAUGGUUUCAUUCUUCGGAUUCCAACCAACCUGGAAAACUUCCUCUCUGUAGAAAAGUUACAAGGAAAUUAAUGAUAAGCAACUGUAAAUACAGAUGUACAAGCUUCUAUUAUACUAUUUAACAUGAAUGAUGAUGGAGCCAACAUUUUCCACAAAAGUAUAUGUAAGGAAGACAUCUUACUUGUGACAAUCCAAAGUAUGAAGUGCAGUAGAAAUCUUGCGUAGAUCAAAUAAUUUAACUGUCUUGUCUGUAGACCCUGUUGCUACAACCCAUUCAUUAAAGGGGUUGAAAGCUAAGCAGUUAACCUGAUCAAAAGAGAAAGGAGGUCAAUCAUGCAGAAUCAUGAACACAAACAUGCUUGUUUACGAAUACUAAAAUCUAGCUAACUGCAUUAAGAAAUGUUUUUCAUUUAAUAGGCAAUGUGCAGUAGUGAUCAUCCUUCUAUGAUUUUGUACAUCUAAUAAUCAGCAUAGAGUAUGGAAGGCAGGACCUUCUCCUUAAGCCAUUUAAAGUCAAAAUUCACAAACAUAGGGAAGCAAUCAAAAUCGAAUAUCUAUUAAAAUAGAUCAUAUGUUAUUUCAAAGAAUAUUUGGUUAAUAGCAUGCACCUAAAGUCAACACAACAGAGUGGAAAAAGCAUAUCAUAGGGUUUAUUUCAAGGUGUGUUAUGUGAAAACUAGAUCAACUGAUUCUACAGUGUGCUAGGUGGGGAAGGAGAUAUAGAGCUAAUGGAGCAACAUGAGGCACCACACUAUAAAACGAAACAAAAAUUCAUCCAGACAUGAACAUCACAUCAUAGUUUUCACACAGCAAUACUACUUGUUUGCACAUUCCAAUAUUGUAAACCCACAAAUGUGAAUAAAAAAAGUGCGGGUAAAAAUUGGAAAACACAAAUUCUAGUUUUAAGAAAAACUGUAAUUAUUUUGUAAGCACGAGAUUCUCACAUUCCAUGCAAGAAAAUCAAAAAACUGCCAACUAUGUUAAUAAGACAUAUCUGAGUGGUUCCUCCACUAGUCAAAAGGAAAGCAUUAUUAACUACAUAAACGUGGAAAAGUGCAGCUAAGAAGUCUAAGCCGCACCUCACUUUGAUGUGCAACUACAGAUUGUAUAGGCUUGGUUACUGAUGGAGUUCGCAGAUCCCAGACGUGCAGAUACUGAUCAUCCCCAACAGAGCCAAAUAAAUACUCAUGCCUCAGAUGCCAAGCUACAUCCUCAACAACACCUUCAUGAACCUACACAUUUUAAAUAUUAGAAUAAACCAAGAAAAGCUGACAAAAACUUAAUGAGAAAAUAAUCCGAGAGACAAGAUUCUUGUCCAUGCUAGGUAGACUGAAGCUUCAGACAGCAAAUAGUAGACAUGACGUGACCAAAAAUAUCAUUUGAGGUAAAAGUUGGGACACUAUUGAAGUUUCAGUUUAACUUUUGUAACAUGAUAUUAAUAAAGAGAUCUCAUGCUGUUCUGCUUCACUUGAUCUUUUUUUACUUUGAGGUGCCUGGGGGUGUUUGCUGGAAGGGAAAGCAUGCAAGUUCUUCUCCAUUUAUCAAUCAUAGUUAUUUGCACAAGAUAAAACUACAAGUAGUAAGCAGGUGCAACAAAUUGAUAAUGAUAUGCAGUGUAACAUGGCAGUAUCUAUCCAGUGCAGACUCGUGAAAAAACACCAGGCAAACCUUAAAUAUCUGCAUAGCCUCUAGAGCCUUAUUUUUGGGAGUGGCAUUAAUGUCCCAUAAACAUAUAUGUGCGUCAUCUGAACCACUCAAUAAAUGACCCUGCUUAAAUUGACUCCAAGACAAACCGUAGCCCUCUGUACUGUGGCCUCUUAACCUCAAAUCUGGAUUGCAUGCACCAUCUAGAGGAGGCUUAGAUGGAUGUUUACUGUAGUCAAAAACAUAUACUUCAGCACUAACUGUCUUAGUUGCAAUGAUAAAUGGGUUUUGGGGCAUAUAUCGAGCCCGAUUAACCUCUCCAUCAUGAUUUAUUUGCUGGAUUAUUUGUACCUGAAAGAGAAAUAUUUAUCAUUAUACAUAAACCACUCAAUGUUGAAACAGAGACAAGAAGUUCACUCUGAUAUUAUGGGGAAAUAGUAGUACAGCAAAAAGAUAUCAGAAUAAGGCCUCCAAGUGAUAAUUGGCAAUGACAGACCAUUUUAAAAAUCUUUUUUUAGAGAAUAAGAUUUUACAGUUCCAUGCCCUCAUCAUAAAUAGAAGAAUUCAUUAUCAACUUUCCACUGAAUCUAUAUGUGGAUAGUACCUUUUAUAACAGUGACAUCAAUCUACACUAAAAGGAGAUAGUAUUCUCAUAAGCUUUUCGAAGUUCUAGCUGGCUAUUCAAACUUCAUCAGUUUUCUCCUGCAAAAAUGUUGCUUCCAAUCAUCUUUGCAUUCAGAUGAGUGGAGCAACUUAACCAGUAGUUUUUGAACUCUAACCAAAUCCGGAAGCAUUGGCUUUGUUACAAACCAUUCCAAGCAUCAUUAUUCAUAUGAUAUAACAGCCUCAAGUGUCCUUUCAGAAGAUAACAUUUCAACAAUAUCAUGACUCAGAAAGAAGAGGACUAAUAAAAACUACAACGCAUAAAAUUUCAAUAAGAACAUGUCAGUCAAAGAGUUCACUCUGCCCAAAGGGAUUGCCCUAUUAGGUGCCCUUAUUUGGUGCUGCGGUGAGUCGGAAAAUGUUGCACUAAUUAUGCUAGGCCCCCUUUUUUUUCCUUUGGUGAUUUUUUUGAUGAAAUUUUAACUGUACCUUAAGCAAAAUCCAGGAAUUGAACUGACAACUUUCAAUUCACUACUCCCUAGUACCUAAGCUGCGAAGGAGAAAACUUUGAGCCAAAGGUCUUAUCAGAAACAACCUCUCAAACUCCACAAGGUAGGGGUAAGUCUGAGUACACACUACAGACUCUGGGACUACACUGGUUAUAGUGUUGUUGAUAAAACUUUAAACCACAUAGUAUAUAGCAUAAUCCCAAAGCUAUCAAAAUUCAAUAGAUUCUUAAACAGGCAGUCCUAGAACAACUAAACUCUAGUACAAAACAAGUAAAUCUCAGACCUUCAAACUAAAAUUAGCCAGAAAAAUGUAGUAACAAUAAAGCAUCCAAAAACAUUCAGAAAAGCAGAAAAUGAAAACCCAUAUAAAACAGUCAAGCAAGGCAUAAAACAGAAUAGAUUCAAACCUUGCCAUUGGCACAACCAAAUCCGCCAAAUUCAGACCGAUCAUCAUCAUAGUGUCGGGCAUCAUUCUCAGCAUCCUCAAGAGGAAGCUGAACCUGAGCAAGCAUGAGAUAAUUGGGCUCAUUUUCCGAUGUAUGAGUCCCCAAAAUCAUCUUCUGAACGGAAUAAUCCUUUCCGGACGGUUCUUCCCGGUCCGGUAACCAUUCGACGGUGAGCGAAGGCCAUUCAAGCGCGUGAGUAAUAACCAGAUCGUAAAGAAAAGGUGUAUUCUUCUUCCAAAUCUUGUACUCCUCGUUUAUCAGCCUCUCCUCAAUUUCACCCCUCAUCUCAUCUUCGUCUUUCCCCAUUAAACAAUUUCAAGAACUGCCUUAAGAUUUUUCUUCUUCUGUUUUGAGUGUGUGAGGGUUUGGGUUUUGUGGAGUUUUGGGGAUUUUUACGAGGGUUUGUAGAGAUUUGGAGGGAACGGUAUUUUCCAGUGGAUUUUCUUUUCUUUUUCUUUUUUUGCGGGAUAUGUGGAUAUCUAAAAGGGUUUUAUAUUACGACGAGAUUGGGCUGUGACCCGAAUUACAAGUCGGUUAGAUUUGCAGGUGUCUUUACAUAAAUAGCCGCCAAGUUUAUCUUCUAGCCAGUAAAUAUAAAUUAUACUCCUCGGUUCACUUUUACUUAUCAACUACUAUUUAACGAUGAUUUUUUCUUAGCGCUAAUUACUUAUCACUCGAAUCAUUUUUUAAAAUCUAAUACUAAACAUAAAUUAAUAAAGGUAAUGUGGUAAAAUAGUUGUGUUAAUAAAAGUAUAGGGUUAAUUGAGUUGUUGAAAGUUGUCUAACUUGGUCUUUCAUUCUAAUAGUCAUGGUAUUAUCUAUAAAAUUCUUGUUAUUCCAUUUUUUUAAUUGUAUAUAGCACUUCGAUCAUCGUAUUAUUUUGUCGUAGAGACUGUUGUGUUUUUAGUAUGAUUUGUCUUGUUUUCUUAAAAAAAAAUUGUCUUGAUUCCUUUAUUCUCUCAAUGUUUCCUUUUUUCAUUAUGAUUUGUAGUGUUUGUUACUUGAGUCGAGAGUCUAUCAAAAACGAUUUAUUCUAUUUUAUAUGAGUAGGAUUUGCAUACAUAUUUACCUUUUUGUACUCUGUAAAAUUACAUUGAAUAUGUUAUUGUAAGAUAAAUCUCUCAUAAUUUUUUUUUGGUAAUCUACUAAAAAUGAAAAUUAAAUAUAUUAUACUCUAAUAGUAUAUUUAGAGUGGACAUACAAUUAGCAAUAAAAUUAUGAAUAAGGAUAUCCAAAAUAAGGUUAGAGCAGGCUCUUGUGGUAGACAAUACGAAGAAAGUAACGUUGAGAUGGUUUGAACAUGUGAAAAAAAAAUGUAUAGAUGCCUAGUGAGGAGGUACGAGAGGUUGGUUACAAUAGGUACGAGAAGCGGUAGAGUAGGCAAAAGAAGUAUUGUGAGAGUUGAUUAGACACAACACAAAACAACUAACUUCAAAUUACCAAGGAUACGACCUUAAACAUGAGGACGUGGAGGCCACUUAUUGGGGUAAAAGGUUAAUAAACCAAUGGAGUGUUAUCUUAUUUUCUGAGGUCUUAGGCAUGUUGAUGUUUGUUGUCGCAUUAGUUAUUGCUUUUGAUAUCUAUCAUUGUUUGUUGUUCAUUAUGUUUUAAUUAUCAUACGAUUUUUAACUUUUUAUUCAUUUAUUGCAGCCUUUGCAUUACCUCCCUUAUUAGUUGCUAAAUAAUUUCCAUGAUUUUCUUCAUUUUAUUCUUCUUACUUGAAUUUGUUAUACUCGAGUUUGAGUAUCUUUUGAAAAUAGCCUUUGUAAUUCCACGAUAUAGAUACUCAUUGCGGUUGUUGUAAUAAUCAUAUAUAUAUAUAUAUAAAUAAAAGAGAACAUUAGGCACGCCUACGUGGCGCCACCACAAACUAGAAUUUCCUUUUAAUUUAUUUAUUUCCAAAACUAGCCUUACCCUUUCAUGAAAAGUUAUGACAUUUAUGAAAAGUUGCGACUUUUAUGAAAAGUUAUGACUUUAAUGAAGAGUUGCGACUUUUAUGAAAGGUUGUGACCUUUUCGAAGGAUUACAACUUUUUCAAAUAGUUGUAACAUUUCCGAUAAAGCACAAUAAACAUUUAUUCACACUACCCUUUGUUGUCUAUAAAUAGAGGGAUCUCCUCUCAUUUUAAAACAACAAAAAUUCUGAACCUCUUUUUUUUCUUCACAAUUAAAUAUUUGUUACUUUUCUCCUUUUGAGUGGCUCACUGAUACCAUUGCUUAUGUUAUAGAUCCGAUAUGUACUUUUACAAUCAUUAAUUUAUGCUUAUGUUAUUAAGGAUAAAUGAUAAAAUGUAAUAAUUUUCAUUUACAAUAUUAAUGUUUGUUACUACGUAAUCUUGUAUGUAAGAUAAUAUAGUGUUUUAGUUUUAAUGACCGAUAGAUUUUAAGUAUUAUUUAUAAAUUUCGUGAUAUUAAAUUCCCAUGCGAAGCACGGAUAAUUUUACUAGUAAUAAUAAUAAUAGUAAUAUUUUUUUAAUACUAAGUGUAUGAUUUAAAUUCAUGAAAAGGGGAAAAAGCCGGCAGUAUAUCAUAAUUCCAGUUGAUUUUGGCGCGCAGUUCAAAAUUUUGUCCAAAAGAAGGAACCUAUUUCUCAAUUGCAAAGCGGGAACUCAAAAACCUUUCACUAUACAGAUCAACAGCAGCAUCUUCCACAAUUUCCGACAAUGAGAUGCGCCGGCCGCCGCCGUGUGAACUCAGCAGUGCCGGAUCGGCGACAUCCACCGCCAUCUUCGGCAUUUUCUCUCCACCGGCGUCCGUGAUUCCGAUACAAGCUUUGCCGGUAGCCGCCCUUCAUCUAUCGGUGUAAACUCCCGGUCCUUCGCUAUCCCCAUUUCCGACCGCUCCUAUCAACUCUCUGCUAUGCGCACAAUCAAUGCGUACCUUUCCUCUCCCUUCUGCCAAAGAUAUCACCGAAACCCUUAAAUUUAUCCUCUGUCGUUUUGAAUUUUCCUCAUUAGAGUCGCAAAAACUAGAAGAUAAACUCCAAACCCUAAUGAAAUCCUUAAAUUGCCCAGUGAAAUUGAACAAAUCUGCAUUAUGCGCCCCUGGGACACCUCAUCAUUGGCCUAGUCUAUUCGCAGCAAUUCACUGGCUUGUUCAGUUGUGUAAAUUUGAUGAUAACCGGCUGAGUUCUGCUCAACCACCUGCUUCAGAGUAUAAGGAGUUGAGCUACGCUAUUGAGAGUUAUUUGCAUUACCUCAGAGGAAAAGAUGAUAAAGUGGACAUCAAUUUAAGCAGGAGUUGGAACAAGAAAGGGAGCGGUUGAUUGAGAAUGUGAAUGUGAAGACUCAAGAGGAGAAGCUGGAGGCGAUGAAGAAAGGGCCAUCAAAGAAAAACGUGUUGGAGAAUGAGAAGAGUGCAUUGGAGGAAGAUGUGAAGAAGUUUCAUGCCAUGAUUGAACAGUUAGAAGGGCAUGUGAUGGUGAUGGAGAAGCUGUUAGCGGAGAAGGAGAAAGGCUCGGAGACUAAGGUUGCAGCCAAGGUGAUGAUUUGUGCAGAGAACGAGGAGUUGAAGAAUAGGGUGGAGGAGCAAGGGAAUAAUGCCGGGGAUGCAGAGAGGAUGAAAAGGGAGGUCCAGGCUUUGGAAAGAGAUAUUAAGAACCAGAGGAAUGGAUGGGAGGAGAAGGCGUGGGACCUCGACUCUGCAGCUAGGAAUGAGUACAAGAAGCUGUAGGAGCUAAUGCUUGAGUGCAACCAAUCUUUAAGGAGGUAGUCUCAUACUCUUUUAUACUGUUAAUUGUUGUUAGAAAGAACAGUGAGUUAACUUCCAUUUGACAUUACGAGAUUUAAGUUUCCAGUAAUCCAAGGUUUGUUGUUCUUUAGGCAUGGAUUUAUUGUAUUGCCAUGCUAGUUUAGUUGGACCAAAAUCCAAAUAGAGCUGUAAGAGUAUGAGUAAUAAGACAAGGUUGGAAGGAUAUCUUAUUGUAUUGUCCACCACUGUUGAUUGCUUACAAGUACCAUUCAGUUAAUAGUCAUAGCUGCCAUUAUAUCAAGUUAGCACUCAGCCUGUAUGCAUAUUGAAUUCUCAGCAGAUAAUUUAGAUGACUUAUCAAGGGAUGUGCAGUUCAAUUCAACUUUUCUACAUAGACUACUUUUCGAUUGACCUUCUUAGAGUUUGUACUCCUUCCGUCCCAAUUUAUGUAACACCGUUGAAAUUUCGAGUGUCAACCAAGUUUUUCUUUGACCAAAAUUUCGUUAUAUGCCUUUCAAGUAUUUUAAGUUGUUAAUAAUUGUUGGUCAAAAUUUCGUUAUAUGCCUUUCAAGUAUUUUAAGUUGUUAAUAAUUGUGAAUUACAUUACUUUUAACGUAGUUACCAUUAAAACUUCUCUGUCCAAAUUCAAGAUCAAAGUUUAGAAAUUUGGAUCUCGAAAUUCCAACUGUGCCAUAUAAAUUGGGACAAUGGUAAUUGAAAUUAUAGUAGGCGUUGACUUAUCAUGCCCCAUCAGCUGAGUUUUGAAUUUUUGUUCUCUUUAUUUAGCGUAUUAAGAUUGUUGGAUUAUUAGCUCACUUAUUUACUCGUGAAUAUCUGCCGUCCAUAGUUCAAGCUUUAUCGUGCUAUGUUCAGAUUUUUUUUACCACAGCGUGCUUUUACAAUGUAUGAACCAUAACCAGUGUCGGGGUCAAGCCUAACCCCCCACACUAAGAGCUCACAACCCUGGUGAUGGCUUAAAAAAAAAACCAGUGAUUGAAAACCUGAUAUUUUGCAUCUUAUUAUAGUUCCAGGCUGAUAAUUGCCUGCCACUCAAAUUCUGAUGGACAAUGAAAGCCACAAUUUAGCAAAUAACUGAACUGGACAAUGUUUCUUCAGCCAAAACCUCCAGUAUUAGGUGGGGGGAUUGGGCUACAGAAGUGGAAACUACUAGAAUCCAAAUGUGAAGAGAGAAAGUAGUAAUAAUACAAACCUCACUUAUGGGAGAAGUUCUUUUGGUCAUGUAAUAUAGAGAAAGUAGUAAUAAUACAAACCUCGAUCAACAAACUAAUACCACCCCUUUUGAAUUGGACUUGCAAAGUUAAGUAAUCUUUUGGUAAUUUUCCAUCAUACCAGGAUUCUUAGGUGUCUUGGCAAGCACUCAUCUUCCAUCAGAUAAGGUCAACUAUGAAAUUUAACAGUCCAUCACAUGUUACACAUCUAACAUAACAGGUAAAAACAGCAAAAGAAGCAUUUCCAACUGUGCAAUCAUUGUCCUUUGUGUACCGAGAAAUACCAUUUAUCUGGUAUAUACAAUUUUCUUAUAAAUGAUCUUUUCACUAACAAUUUACUUUUAAUCUUGGAUAGACAGAGCACAACCAGGCACAAGUGCAAUGUAUGAACAUUGUUGUUCAAUCUUACUUACAACUUACCCAUGACCAUUCAGCAUUCAACUGCUCACCUCCAAAUAUUUGCAAUUUUCAGUUGACAGACUUCUUAGAUGCAACACAAACCAAUCCCCUGUACAAGCAUCUCAUUUGAAAUUGAUCCUUGACUUGCACGGUCCUCAAAGCAUCAGAUGAGUACUUGCAGACCCUUUUUUUUUUUUUUGAGAAAGCAAGAGCUUGGAGACUUAAGAGUACACUGUAGCAAAUUGCAUACCAUGUCAAUGCUAGCAUGAAUUCUAGGCAGGUUAAAAAAAGAGAACUAACUAAAUACAAGAGAAGCAUAUAAUAGACCUUGAAAUUCCCCCUCAACAAUGAAUACUGAUGACUUUGUCAGGUUGAAAUAGCUUAAAACAAAAAUAUUUCUCUUUCCCCAGAGUGAAAUUUAACUCAAUAGUCUCUUAUAAGCUCAUUUUAUAAAGAAGUCAGUUUUUUUAAAUGCACCAAAAGGGCAAUUUUAUAUCCCCUCCCACACGAGACUUCCUUUCUUUCUGAAUUUGUGGAAAGGAGGACAAACUAUAGAACUCCCUAUACCUUGACAGAUGCAGAUGGUAUUUACCUCAGUACAAUUGACAGCAGAAUUUAUGGUGCUAAAGGACCUGAGAAAUUUGAUGGUGGCUUCAUAACAAAUGGAUGUUCUAGUAGUUCAGCUGCAGUUGGCCGAUCAUUCGGAUUAACUCGCAAACAGCUUUUUAUGAAAUCCUGAGCUUCUGUCGAUAAGGUAUCUGGUAUAGGAGGAGGUUCACCUCUGCCUAUCCUGAACAGUGCUUGCAUCUGUCGCACAAAACAAUGAUAAAAUCUUAACAUGUGAAUACCCUUAAAACCUGAGGAAAACUAGAGCUUCUCUUUUUUUCUAGUCAUGAAGUUCCAUUAUUUGGGCUAAAAGAAACUAGAUCAUUCAGGACUCAUUGUUGUAAUUAUCAGUGUGCUUACUAGUACUAUUACUAAGUAGACUUCUUCCAAGAAUAUAAAAAGACUUAAACUGGUUAUGCAAUGUCAUGCAACAGCAGUUACCUCUGUUGUGUAGAUCAGCUACAGGCCUACACCUUAAAGCUUAAGGAAGAUCUAUUACAAUUGAAGUGAGAAAAAGAUACUAAAAGACACCCACCCAUGCUAAUAGAAGAAUAUUUUCAGGAAAAUUUACAGUGGUUGUUAAAAGAGAACAUAAAUUAACAUACAAGCAGUUGUCAACUACUAGAUCAUGAAUGUAAAUUUCUUUUCAUAAUAAUCUCCUAUUUCACUUAAGACUACAUAUUUUAGAUGAUUCAUACACAAACAAGCAAGAGAUCAAUUGUUGAAUCUUGUGAAGUC
rnacentral:lncRNA from 1 species